rnacentral:lncRNA from 1 species
CAACUAGUACAUUCCUACCUAGACGUACAGUACAACUAGUUUUUCGUUAAAUUUAUGGAUUCCUUGGGACUUGUGCCAUGUGUUUUGGAUGAAAUCAGAUGAGCAUGUCUUUCCUUAAGUUCAUUUAAUUUUGUUGAUAAUAUUGCGAUUUUUUCAGUUAACAAUGCAAUUUCUUCCUCAGCUUCAACAAGCAGUUUUUGAGUGAUCAUCUUGUGUUGCUAUCUCUUUAUCAACCUCUCCAAGCCCAACCUCACUUUCAUCUGCAUUUGCGUAUACACGAUCACCUGUUUGUUUGUCAAGUUCUACAGCAGCAAUCUCCUUUCCUUGUAUAUAACUAAUUACCUGAAAUGGCAUAAUUCAGGAUCACAAGUUGCAUAAUGUUUGGUAUGACAUGAAAAUCCUAUUGAAUUUGAAUUUAGGUAUUAUCUAGAAUCUGUUCUAUGGGCUCUAAAUAUAGGUGUUAGGUUUUUUGGAGAAGAGACAUUCAGAAGCAUUCUAAUAAUUCUCAUAGUUAUCUCUUUUAUAUGGUAUUUUUCAGAUUUUUAUUUAGUGAAUUUCUUCUCUCUCCGUAAUUUUUUCCGAUCUGGGUUUCCACAUAAAUGUAGUUCAUUAGAGCUAGGAAUGUAGUUGAAGCAUUAGUGAAACCAAAUGGAAUGACUAAAAACUAGUGGAAUGACCAAAUGGAAUGACCAAAGGCAAAAGUAGUGCUGGUUGUUUAGGUAUGGCAGCAGGAGCAGGUGGUACUAUGUGAAUGGCUAAAGUUUGCACAGUACCUUUCUUGCAUCUUAGCCAAACUAAUAGCAUCCUUCAGAGUAGUAGCUAGGUUUCAACAAUUUGACCAUGCAUUUUAUCUCAAAUUUCAAUCCACUGAUGAAACUAGACGGGAAAAAAUCAUCUGUAUAGUGCUUACUCUUCACCAGCAUAAUAGAUUGCAGAUUUUCAAAUUCUUUCUGAUAAACACUUACAGUGGUAGUAUGCUUCAGAUUUUUAAAUUCAUCAACGGGGUCGCAAUCAGCCACAUCAUAUCAGCAAUAAUUUCCUUCGUGAAUCUAUUCCAACCGAGAGGUCGGAUCGCUGCCUGGAAACCACGAAUCAGCUUUUUCGUCCAUAUAAAUCUACACCAGAGAAACCUUACUUUCACUGGACAUUGGAUUAACAUUGAAGAACUUCUCACACUUGCGAAUCCAUGACCGAGGAUCAGUUCCGUUAAUUAAGGAAAUUCGACCUUAAAAUUCUUCAGUAGCUCAGCCAUAUCAUGAACGCCAUGGCUACCAACAUCGAGCUCUCCUUGAGCUCCAUCAGCUUCAGUCAUCUUUACUCCGUAAGCAUCAAUUUGAAAUUCCUCUGCAUUUCUCCUUCUAAUUCAGUCACACCAGUUUCCAUAACCUUCAUACGCUCUUAGAAAACACCGAAUCGUUCCUCCAACGAACCAAUCGAAGUGGAAAGCACAUCGUUACUGCGAGCCAAAUCGUGAACCUUUAACCACGUGUAUAUUAUUUUGUUGAGUGUUUGACGAAAUGCCUAGAAGAGUUUUCAUUUGUUAGAUCUUUAACCAAGUGUAUAUAUGUACAAAAUACUUCUACAUACACCAACCAUACAC